rnacentral:misc_RNA from 1 species
GUAAAAUUAGAACUUUUAAGUUCUGAAGUUUGCCAAUAUCAAUGGGAAUAUUACCUGACAGCCGAUUGCUUUGCAUGGAGAGCUUCUCCAAGUUGACAAGAUUGACAAUGCCAGUGGGAAUUCUUCCUGAUAUGCUAUUGUCACUUAUUAUGAAUCUUGAAAGACUAGUUGAGAAGUUGCUGAUGGAUUCAGGUAAAACUCCUCCAAAUUUGUUAUUAUUCGUUUCCACUAACCAUAAGUUGGUUGAAUUGAUCAAGGAUGAGAGAAAGUUCAAGUCAUUAGCACCCCAACUCCCAAG